AUUGAACGCUGGCGGCAGGCCUAACACAUGCAAGUCGAACGAGUGGCGGACGGGUGAAUAAUGUCUGGGAAACUGCUCGAUGGAGGGGGAUAACUACUGGAAACGGUAGCUAAUACCGCAUACCAUCGGAUGUGCCCAGAUUGGAUUAGCUAGUAGGUGGGGUAACGGCUCACCAAGGCGACGAUCCCUAGCUGGUCUGAGAGGGUGACCAGCCACACUGGAACUGAGACACGGUCCAGACUCCUACGGGAGGCAGCAGUAGGGAAUAUUGCACAAUGGGCGCAAGCCUGAUGCAGCCAUGCCGCGUGUAUGAAGAAGGCCUUCGGGUUGUAAAGUACUUUCAGCGAGGAGGCGUUACUCGCAGAAGAAGCACCGGCUAACUACGUGCCAGCAGCCGCGGUAAUUC
rnacentral:rRNA from 1 species